rnacentral:tRNA from 1 species
GUGAGAUGCCCGAUGGUCGCGAACUGGAUGCGGUCUUGGACGCCGCGGCGGGCUUGUCUCGGUACGAAGCCGAGAACGCAUUC